UACGGAGGGUGCAAGCGUUGUCCGGAUUUAUUGGGUUUAAAGGGUGCGUAGGCGGCCCUGUAAGUCAGUGGUGAAAUCCGGCAGCUCAACUGUCGAUGUGCCAUUGAUACUGCAGAACUUGAGUACAGACGAGGUAGGCGGAAUUGACGGUGUAGCGGUGAAAUACUUAGAUAUCGUCAAGAACACCGAUAGCGAAGGCAGCUUACUAGACUGUAACUGACGCUGAUGCACGAAAGUGUGGGGAUCAAACAGG
rnacentral:rRNA from 1 species